rnacentral:piRNA from 1 species
UCCGCUUCCAUUGCUGAAUGA